AGAGCGAACGCUGGCGGCAGGCUUAACACAUGCAAGUCGAGCGGGCGUAGCAAUACGUCAGCGGCAGACGGGUGAGUAACGCGUGGGAACAUACCUUUUGGUUCGGAACAACACAGGGAAACUUGUGCUAAUACCGGAUAAGCCCUUACGGGGAAAGAUUUAUCGCCGAAAGAUUGGCCCGCGUCUGAUUAGCUAGUUGGUGAGGUAACGGCUCACCAAGGCGACGAUCAGUAGCUGGUCUGAGAGGACGAUCAGCCACAUUGGGACUGAGACACGGCCCAAACUCCUACGGGAGGCAGCAGUGGGGAAUAUUGGACAAUGGGCGCAAGCCUGAUCCAGCCAUGCCGCGUGAGUGAUGAAGGCCCUAGGGUUGUAAAGCUCUUUGUGCGGGAAGAUAAUGACGGUACCGCAAGAAUAACGCCCGGCUAACUUCGCGCCAGCAGCCGC
rnacentral:rRNA from 1 species